GCCGGAGUGGCGGAAUUGGUAGACGCAAGGGACUUAAAAUCCCUCGGAGCCUGCUCUGUACGAGUUCGAGUCUCGUCUCCGGCA
rnacentral:tRNA from 1 species